rnacentral:tRNA from 1 species
GCCGGCAUGGCUCAGUGGUUGAGCAUUGACCUAUGAACCAGGAGGUCAGGGUUCAAUUCCCAGUGAAGGCA